rnacentral:rRNA from 1 species
AUUAAUUAAAUUAAAAUUAUUUGAUUAAAUAUUAAUUUCAAAAUUAUUUAAAUAUUUAAAAUAAUAAAUUUAUAAAAUUUUUAAAAAACUAGGAUUAGAUACCCUAUUAUUAAAUUUAAAAAUUUAAAAUUAAAGUAUUAAAUGAAAAUCACUAAACUUAAAAAAUUUGACGGUAUUUUUUCUAUUUAGAGGAAUUUAUUUAUUAAUUGAUAAUACACGAUAAUAAAUACUUAAUUUUUUAUAUUUACAUAUUUCUGUUUAAAUUUUAUUUUAAAAUAAAAUUUAAAUUUUAGAUUUUAAAAAUAUUUCAAGUCAAAGUUUAAUUUAUAGUUAAGAUUAAAUGAAUUACAAUAAAUUAUAAUUAAAAAUAAUAAUUUAUAAUUAUUAUUUAAAAAGAAUUUAAUAUUAAAAAUAAAAAAUUAUUUAUUUUGAAUUUAGAUUAAAAUAUGUACAUAUUGCCCGUCAUUCUCAUUAUUUAUGAGACAAGUCGUAACAAAGUAAAUAUACUAGAAAGUAUAUUUAGAAUUUAAAAUUUUAGUUUAUUUAAAAUUUAAUAGUUACAAUAUUAAGAAAUAAUUUUUAUAGAUUUUAUUUAAAUUAUAUGUUAUUUUAUUUUUUUUUUAAUAAUUUUUAAAUUAUAAUUAUUUGUUAAAUUUAUUUAAAUUUAAAUUAUUUUAUUUUUUAAAUUUUAAAAUUUUUAAUUUUGUAAAAAUAAAAAUAAAAUUUACUUUUUUUACCUUUUGCAUUAGGGAUAAUUAAAAUUUAAAUUAUAUUUUUUUUUCUCGAAUUAAAAAAAUUUAAAUAUUUUAAUUUUAUUAAUAUAUCAAUAUUAUAAAUAAUUAAUAUUUAGAAACUAUAUAUUAAUCAAUUUUUAGUUUAUCUAGUUAUUUAAUAAAUGAAUUUAAUUCAUAUAUAAAUUUUUAAUAUUUUAUUAAUUAAUUUAAAUUAUUAUUUUUAUAUAAAUAAUUUAAGGGUUUAACUUUAAAUUAAUUUUUAUAAUAUUUGAU